GAAACACUCCGUGCACCGCAUUAUGGUAGGCAAAAAAGCGCGGGAGAUGCACCAGCCGCUUGCAAAGAAGAAACUGUUUCGGUAGUCGGUGAACAAUCGAUUAUAUUCGAGGAUUCCUCGUCGAAAACUGGAUAGAGAAAGAUUUUUCGAUACGAGUUAAUUUUCUUGAAAAUCGAAAUUGAAAAUACGACGGAAUAUGGGAUGGAAAAUGAGACGAAUCCACAAACAUUCAACGUUGAUUUUCUCACAAACGGAGAUUUCUAGACGAUCACGAUCCAGAUCUGUAUAAUGCGAUUCGCCCAGGUUCCGUUGUCUUCUGAUACAUUAUGUAACCUUCGAGAAGGGUUACAGAAUGCUUUCGUUUUCAUGAAUACCGCAUCUAUGAUCAGCAGGCCAAGUUUUUAAGCGGAUGCCGUGUUAAUCCUUCGACCUGAUCACCUGAUACGAAAACUCUUAGUCAUCGUGGGGAACGGAGAAAGAAAGUAAAAGAAAGAGAUACGCGAGGAAACAGCCGUGACAAUGAUGCAUCGAGAAGAGGUUUCUUUCGAUCCUCGAAAUAGAUUUAUUCGAGGAUACGAUUUGAAAUUCAAAAAACCACUAUGGAGAAUAAUUUCCAUUCUGAAAAAAUUAUAUGUAAUAAAAAAAAUUAAUUCUUUCCCUUUCUCGAAAAGUAAAAUUUCUCGCCGCAAAAGUGAAAAAUUACGUUGGAGAGUUUUACUCUCGAAUUUAUUCCCGAACCCUUAAGAUGCAUGCUCAAUCGAAAGUAGAAUUAUCGUGAGUUGGAGAAUAUAUUUUUUUCGCAAGCGGUGUUAAAAGUGAAAAUUACGCUGAAGGGUAUC